UUGGGAGCCGCAGCCCCGAGCCCGGUCGCCUCACUUGGCGGACGUGAGGCCUGUAGUAAAGAGUAAAGCCUGAGGUAGAUUACCCCUCCCAUCGAGCACGUUAGUUUCCUGCUUACCGCGUAAGCAACCCGCUCAACAAUAUAGUCUGCCUGGCAACUGAUGAUGUUAGCCAAUCAGCUUGCCUUGCUUACUUUAACAUGAUUGGACACUGUAUCCGUAUAUAUACUGGUGCCACCCCUGGGGGGGAAGAAGAAGCCCGGAAGUAGAAGCCCAGAAGGAGCCGCGGGGAGCGGACCAAAGGAGGCUUCGGCUGGGAGCGAUCCCAGGGCAGGCUGUACGGAGAAGGAAAAUAAAAGAAAAGGUUGUCCACUGCCAGACUUUGUCGUGUGUCCUUCCUGCCGGCCAGGAGCGACAUCGACAUUUGGAGGCCCGCACGGGGACUGAUCACCCCCGAGACGUGACAGCGGACAACGCUCCAGUACAGAGCUGCGAGACAGGAAUCGGGACGAGAACCACUGUGGGUACCGGAGAGACUGACACGGGCGACAAAGCCCUCGACUGAAGAUCAGACCUGCCCUACCGGAGAUCCAUCACAGACCAACCAACAAGAUGAAUAGAAAUAGCGGUAGCCCAAAAUGGACAAGAAGAUCCUCAGGCAUAUGCAUGGCUCGCUCGCCUAGCCUACGACCGAGUCUAGGGGUGGUGAGCUUCCCACACUCCUCCUCUAAAAAAUUAUGACAUAGCUGGGUAGGAGAGUCAAUGACGGGUAAGAGCGUACUCCCCCGGUGCGACUCAACCUAAGCCAGGCCCUACCCCAUCCUGCACGUAAGCCGCUGGACUGUUAGAUGCUGCCCAGGUCUAAAUUUCUCUCCGAGGGGAUUUCUUUACGGAGAGGAAAUGAGUGCAAGCUUGUGUGCAUCCAGGUUCCGUCCAGUUUGUGCCUGGCCCUAGAAAAAGGACGAGGGCCUCAGGGCCUUGGCAGACCAUGGGACGGCCGACCAGGGUCUAAGCCAAGGACCUACGGUGGGCCUACGCAUAGGGCAUAAGCCUCUGCACCCAGUCCAGGAAGGGCUACGAUGUGCACAUUUAUAAAAAAAAAUAAAAAAGGGGGAGAUGUUGGGAGCCGCAGCCCCGAGCCCGGUCGCCUCACUUGGCGGACGUGAGGCCUGUAGUAAAGAGUAAAGCCUGAGGUAGAUUACCCCUCCCAUCGAGCACGUUAGUUUCCUGCUUACCGCGUAAGCAACCCGCUCAACAAUAUAGUCUGCCUGGCAACUGAUGAUGUUAGCCAAUCAGCUUGCCUUGCUUACUUUAACAUGAUUGGACACUGUAUCCGUAUAUAUACUGGUGCCACCCCUGGGGGGGAAGAAGAAGCCGGGAAGUAGAAGCCCAGAAGGAGCCGCGGGGAGCGGACCAAAGGAGGCUUCGGCUGGGAGCGAUCCCAGGGCAGGCUGUACGGAGAAGGAAAAUAAAAGAAAAGGUUGUCCACUGCCA